UACGGAGGAUGCGAGCGUUAUCCGGAAUCAUUGGGUUUAAAGGGUCUGUAGGCGGGCUGGUAAGUCAGAGGUGAAAGCGCUUAGCUCAACUAAGCAACUGCCUUUGAAACUGUUGGUCUUGAAUGGUUGUGAAGUAGUUGGAAUGUGUAGUGUAGCGGUGAAAUGCUUAGAUAUUACACAGAACACCGAUAGCGAAGGCAUAUUACUAACAAUUUAUUGACGCUGAUGGACGAAAGCGUGGGGAGCGAACAGG
rnacentral:rRNA from 1 species